UACGGGGGGGGCAAGCGUUGUUCGGAAUUACUGGGCGUAAAGGGCGCGUAGGCGGUUCGCUAAGUUGGAUGUGAAAACUCUGGGCUCAACCCAGAGCCUGCAUCCAAAACUGGCGGGCUAGAGUUCUGGAGGGGUAGCGGGAAUUCCUGGUGUAGCGGUGAAAUGACGUAGAUAUCAGGAGGAACACCGGUGGCGAAGGCGGCUACCUGGACAGAAACUGACGCUGAGGCGCGAAAGCUAGGGGAGCAAACAGG
rnacentral:rRNA from 1 species